CCACAACUAAACAUAUAUCGAUCAUACAGUUUAUAUAUUAUUUAUUAUCAUUCAAUCAAUGGCUGCUGCAAGUAACUCUUCAAGGUCUAUUAUGGUUGCUCUCAUUCUCAUUGCUUUCGUUUUGUCUCCUUCUGUUGCAGGUCGCGAGCAACCUCAUGGCAAUGCACCGGGCAACCCAAGUGGGCCGAUUAAAGCAAAACUGGUGAAAUGUCCUCAAUGCAUUUGCUGUGGACCUCCUCUAACCCCAAAAUCACCUUGUUGCAAGUGCUGCAAUUCUCAAAACGACUCUCAUUCCAAACUUGGCUUUCCAUGAAACUUACUUACGUACUUGUGUCCUUUUCAGACAUACAAAUGUACUAAGUCAUGAAUAAAAAGAGUUGUCUUGUUUUUCCCAAUAAAAUUUGAAUAAAAAUUUAUGUCUCGUAGCAAUUUUCCAGAUA